rnacentral:rRNA from 1 species
AACGUAAGAGACGAACGUUAUCCGGAGUUACUGGGCGUAAAGGGCGUGUAGGCGGUUUGUUAAGUCUGGCGUGAAAGCUCUCGGCUAAACCGGGAGAGGUCGUUGGAUACUGGCGAACUAGAGGAUGGUAGAGGCGUGUGGAGUUCCGGGUGUAGUGGUGAAAUGCGUAGAGAUCCGGAGGAACACCAGUGGCGAAGGCGACACGCUGGGCCAUACCUGACGCUAAAGCGCGACAGCAUGGGGAGCAAACGGG